rnacentral:sRNA from 1 species
ACACAAGUUUACCAGUGAUGUAACAUAGGGGUGUAGAUGCGUAUUGAACACAUCGUUGGGCCGAUUAUACUAACUAACAAGUCAUGGAUACUGUACUAUGUCAGAGGAGAAAGACGGGAUAGGGUAGAGAUAUAGACCCAAAGAUGGAGUCCUAAUUCCUAACAAAUCAGCAACUGGCCGUUACUUAAGCCUUUUGGUUCACUAAAGUGCAAGUAGAGUCAACAUCCACUCAACUACAAUGUUUAUAUAUUCCUCCGAUAAUAUUUAUCUUAAAUCGAAUUACAACCAGGGUGAAUGAAUAUGCAUAGUGAUUGAAAUUCAACAAGUUUCUUGUCAGUAUGUGGGUGAAUUUUCAUGAAAAAUUUUUGGGGGGUAAAUUUUGUUGUUGUCUUCUUGUGCUUACACAGUCGACUCAUUUGACAUGCAGAUACUAAAGGUAAACUAAGCCAAGUCACCUCCUUGAUAACAUAAAGCUGUUUGUACAAACAAAACAUAAGGGGUGUAACACUUAUAUCUAAACAUUUUCACACCAGUCAGAUUAUCAAGUAAGGAACUUUAUAAACAUAUACGCAAAUUCUUGGAAAGCACCUCCGUUUUAAUAGAUGAAUAUCAGAAAUUAGCGAAACCUGUUAGAUGCAUUACUGUACUUUUCAUCGAAUGAUUUAUAUAGACUUAAGUCUCCAAGAAAAUGGAUAAAAAAUCUUUAAAUAUUUAUCACCGAUAUCUGAUGUUUUAUCCCCAAGUCAAAUAAAAACAUGGAAGUCUACUCCUACACAUUUCUAUAUGGUAUCACUCCAGGCUAGAUUUUCUCUGGUCUCUGGGGUAAAAUUAUCAAUUGUUACACAGUCUGCCAUAAGUUGGCUAAACGCAUUAACACACAGGAAAAAAAGGACUUGCUGAUUCACACAUUAAAUGGUAAUAGUAUGUUCUCCGAGCAUCCUACACAUCAUGUAUUCUGUAACAUCUAUCUAUAUUUUUCCCAUUCAAAGUCUGAUGAAACUAUAAUUAGGACGAUCCCCAAAUGUCAAGUAUCAAAAUGGUCUGAAUCAUCAAAUGUCUUUUUUCUAUUAUGGCAAUUUCCUCUUUUAUUAUGAAUAUUUCAUUGGUUUCAGAAUUUCAUCUUUCAAAAGAAGCAAGGUUUUUCUGUGUUUCUUUCAUAUAUCUUUUUCUUUGAAGUAAGCUUUUAACUGAACAAUCAUUAUGACCAAAUUUCAGUCAAAAGACUUGAAUUUUCUGUCCAACAAAUUGAUCAAUUUAUUAGCCCAUUUCUUCAUGUCAAAUAUAUUGGUUGACUUUUAACCUACCAAACUCAUCUACGCUAUCAAAUAUACUUGUGAAAUUUUGUAUAGACAGCUGUUUACAGUUCAUAUUUAUCAAACACUGCAUUCUUGUAUUACUCAGGAACAGGUUGAGGGCAUAGCUCGCAAAAGCUAGCUCGGAAGAUAACGGGUGAAAAAGAUAUUGGAUUUUAACAAGUAGAUGAUCUCACACAUUCUCCAAAGAGUCAAUGGUUCCAAAUUCUUCACAACAAAGAGCAAUAUAUCAAUGUUUUUGUAAUAAAAAACUAAUUCAUUCUUUAU